rnacentral:rRNA from 1 species
UACGAAGGGGGCUAGCGUUGUUCGGAAUUACUGGGCGUAAAGCGUGCGCAGGCGGCUCGUUGCGUCGGCUGUGAAAACCCACAGCUUAACUGUGGGCCUGCAGCCGAUACGGGCGAGCUGGAGUUCGGUAGGGGAGACUGGAAUUCCUGGUGUAGCGGUGGAAUGCGUAGAGAUCCGGAAGAACACCGGUGGCGAAGGCGGCCUGCUGGGCAGUUGCUGACACUGAGGCGCGACAGCGUGGGGAGCAAACAGG